rnacentral:rRNA from 1 species
CAGGCAAGCGAGAUUACCCGUUAAGUUUAAGGAUAUCAAUAAGCGAUGUAAAAGAAUCUUACUAGGAUUCCUUUAGUAAUAGAGAGCGAAUCGGGAAAAGCCUAGUUUGAGAAUUGGGUACCAUCGGUAUCCGAAUUGUAGUCUGGAGACGUGUCCUCAGCGGUGGACCGGGCUCAAGUCCCCUAAAAAGGGGCACCGAAGAGGGAGAUAGACCCUUCGUGCCCGGACCCUAUCGCAUCACGAGGCACUGUCUACGAGUCGGGUUAUUUGGGAAUGUAGCCCUAAUCAAGAGGUAAAUUCCGUCCAAGGUAAAUACAGGCGAGAGAUCGAUAGCAAACAAGUAUCGCAAGGGAAAGAUGAAAAGGACUUUGAAAAGAGAGUCAAAGAGUGCUUCAAAUUAUUGGGAAGGAAGCGGAUGAGGGCUGGCAAUGCACCCCAAUCGAAUGUGAAACAGCGAGAUCCGAUCUACCGAUCGAAUCAGUGUAUGGACUAACACGGGUUAUGGAGGCGGCCCAAGCUCGGGCUCUUGAUACGUCCGUAGAGACGUCGUCACCUCAAUCAUGAGAUCCAGCACACGUUGUCGGCAUGCUUAUGCACCUACGUGCUCUAGGCAUCGACCUGUGAGCUCCCCAUUCAGCCUGUCUUGAAACACGAACCAAAGAGUCUGAAUGUGUGCGAGUCAAUGGGCUAGAAAACCUAUAAGGCAUAAGGAAGCUGAUUGGUAGGAUCCCUCGCGAGUGUACCGUCAAUUGACCAUGAUCUUCUAAGAAGGGUUCGAGUGAGAGCAUGCCUGUCGGGACCCAAAAAUGGUAAACUAUGCUUGAGCAGGGCGAAGCCAGAGGAAACUCUAGUGGAGGCCCGUAGCGAUAUGGACAUGCAAAUCAUUCGUCUGACUUCGAUAUAGGGGUGAAAGAGUAAUCGAACCGUCUAGUAGCUGGUUCCCUUCGAAGUUUCCCUUAGGAUAGCUAGAGCCCUUAGCGAGUUCUAUCAGGUAAAGCUAAUGAUUAGACGCAUCGAGGGCAUAACGCCCUCGACCUAUUCUCAAACUUUAAAUAGGUAGGACGGCACGGCUGCUUCGUUGAGCUGCGCUACGGAAUCGAGAGCUCCAAGUGGGCCAUUUUUGGAAAACAGAAUUGGCGAUGCAGGAUGAACAAAAAAUAGGGUUACUGUGCCCAACUGCGUAUUAACCUAGAACCCACCAAAUGUGUUAGUCGAUUAAGAUAGCAGGACGGUGGUCAUGGAAGUCGAAAUCUGCUAAGGAGUGUGUAACAACUCACCUGCCGAAUCAACUAGCCCCAAAAAUGGAUGGCACUUAAGCGCGCGUCCUAUACCAGUCGUCGGGGCAAGGGCCAGGUCUCGAUGACUAAGAGGGCGCGGCAAUCACCGUAAAACCUAGAGCGUGAGCCAUGGCGGAGCUGUCAUCGGUGCAGAUCUUGGUGGUAGUAGCAAAUAUUCAAAUCAGAACUUUGAAGGCCGAAGAGGGGAAAGGUUACAUGUGAACGGAACUUGCAUAUGGGUUAGUCAAUCCUAAAAGAUGGGGGAAGCUCAUUCGAUAGCACGUUCAAUGCGAGCUUCGUAAGGGAAUUAGGUUAAAAUUCCUAAAUCAGGAUGCGACGACUGACGACAAGAUUAAGGAGUCUGGAGAUGUCGGUUGGGGCCUCGAGAAGGGUUCUCUUUUCUGUUUAAUGGCCUGCCCACCUUGCAAACGCUCAGUCGGAGGUAGGGUCCAGUGGCCGAAAGAUCACCGCACGUCGCGUAGUGUCCAGUGCGCCCCCAACGGCCCUUGAAAAUCUAGAUGAUCGAGUGUCAUCCACGCCCGAUCGUACUCAUAAUCGUAUCAGGUCUCCAAGGUGAACAGCCUCUGGUCAAUGGGAUAAUGUAGGCAAAGGAAGUCUGCAAAAUGGAUCCGUAACCUCGAGAAAAGGAUUGGCUCAAAGGGUUGGGCACGAGGGUCAUAGUCUCGAACCCGUCGACUGUUGCUGCACUGCUCGAGCUGCUCUCGGAUAAGAGUGGGUCGUCGCGUGCUGAUCGGGAGACAGACUGGGAAUCGUACCCUCGAGGGCCUUCCCCGAGUGACGAACAGUCGACUCAGAACUAGAACGAACAAGGCGAAUCUGAUUAUUUAAUUAAAACAAAGCAUUGUGAUGGUCCCUACGGAUGCUCACGCAAUGUGAUUUCUGCCCAGUGCUCUGAAUGUCAAAAUGAACAAAUUCAACCAAGCGCGGGUAAACGGCGGGAGUAACUAUAACUCUCUUAAGGUAGCUAAAUCCCUCAUCAUCUAAUUAGUGAUGAGCAUGAAUGGAUUAAUGAGAUUCCCACUAUCCCUAUCUACUAUCUAGUGAAACCAUAGCCAAGAGAACGUGCUUAGCAGAACCAGCGGGGAACGAAGACCCUGUUGAGCUUGACUCUAGUCCGACUUUUAUGAAAUGACUUGAGAGGUGUAGGAUAAGUGGGAGCUCUCGGGCGAAAUUGAAAUACCACUACUUUUAACGUUAUUUUACUAAUUUCGUGAAUUAGAGGUGGGGCAAACCCCUUUUUUUGGACCUAAGGUCGGCUUCAGUUGGUCGAUCCGGGCGAAAGACAUUGUCAGGUAGGGAAUUUGGCUGGGGUAGCACAUUUGUUAAAAGAUAGCGCAGGUGUCCUAAGAUGAGCUCAACGAGAACAAAAAUCUCGUGUGGAACAAAAGGGUAAAAGCUCAUUUGAUUCUGUUUUCUAGUAUGAAUACGAAUCAUGAAGCGUGGCCCAUCGAUCCUUUAGACCUUCAAAAUUUGAAGCUAGAGGUGUCAGAAAAGUUACCACAAGGAUAACUGGCUUCUGGCAACCAAGAGUUCAUAACGACGUUGAUUUUUGAUCCUUCGAUGUCGGCUCUUUCUAUCAUUAUGAAGUAGAAUUCUCCAAGUGUUAGAUUGUUCACCUACCAAUAGGGAACGUGAGCUGGGUUUAGACUAUCGUGAGACAGGUUAGUUUUACCCUACUGAUGACCACAUCGUCAUAGUAAUUCAACCUAGUACGAGAGGAACCGUUGAUUCACACAAUUGGUCAUCACGCUUGGUUGAAAAGCCAGUAGCGUGAAGCUACCGUGUGUUGGAUUAUGAUUGAAAGCCUCUAAGUUAGAAUCCGGGCUAGAAGGGACACACGCGCUCGUCGCCUGAUUACCGACCCGCAUAGGGGCCUUUGGCCCUCAAGGGCACGUGUCGUAGGUGCAGCGACCGCGGCGGAUAAGUUGUUGCUGCCUCCUUGGAGCAUAAUUCCCACCGAGCGACGAGUAGAAUCCUUUGCAGAGGACUUAAAUAUGCAACGGGGUAUUGUAAGUGGAAGAGUGGCCUUGCUACCACGAUCCACUGAGAUUCAACCCUUUGUCGCUUCGAUUCGU